AUGAUAAGAUAACGUAUAUGUAUGUAAUUAUUUACAUCAAACCUUGAACGAAUUAGAAUAAUUUGCUUCAAAUAAGAAAAAUUAUUAGCAGUAAAUAUUGACAAUAAGACAGUGCAAUGUUUGCAUUACAAUUUGUUAUUUUAAAUAAAUUACUUACAGCAAGUUGGAUUAUGUCGAGCAGCGCGCGUUUCAUUCAAGAUUUAAAAUAUUGAUUUGCUCGCGACGAUGUCUCUACUGCUCAUGCUCGUUAAGCUUUCACUAUCGCUUGAAAGCUCGAAACUCAACCAAAAAAAUGUUCACCAUGCCGCUAGCUUGUUGUUACUAAUAAAAUGUUUAUUACGCGUUAAGCUUUAUUGUUGCUUUAUACUGAAAUGUAGUCUAUAUGAAUUGCCGUAAAGGCAGUAUUCGUCGUCGUCCAAAUUGUUAAAAAAAGGUAGGUCAAUCAGAUUACAUUUAUAGACAAAAUAAUUAGAACAGUUCGAUGUUUCAGGUCACACAUUUUACACAUCUUCAGUUGUAUCAUAAGAAUGUAAUUGUAAAAAUUGAACACUGCAUUAUGUAAACUUUAUAUAUAUCUAUUUAAUUUUUCCAUUAUAUAAUUAUAUUCAUGAACUCAUAAUGUUUUUAGUUUUUUGUUUAAAUAAAAUUUGUGUACAUUAUUGUACACACUUAAUAUCAAUAUGAAGCUAUAUAAUUAUUUGUUUUAAUACUGGUUACUGUCAGAAUAAUUUUAUGUUUUACAGUACUACAUUCAAUAAUAUUAUUUGCAAAUAUUUACAAUUACAGGCCUCACCAUUGCGAACAUAAUUCCUAUUAUGAUGUUGGGGCGCAAGCAGAGCCUCAAAGGGGAACCCGUCUUGGCCGAUUAUGGGCCAGAGGAGUCCCUCAAUGAGAGCGCUGACAUAGAAUGGGUGAAUAAGCUAUGGGUUAGAAGGUUGAUGAGGUCCUGUGCUUUAAUGUCUUUAGCUUCUGUUUGCUUAAAUACUCCAAAGACUUUUGAAAAAGUUCCACCUCUUCAGUAUGUAACCUUUGUUUGCGAUUUAAUUAUUACAUUCUUAUUUACUGCUGAAAUGAUUGCCAAAAUGCAUAUACGAGGUAUACUGAAGAGGGAUAAAUCUUACUUAAAGGAUCACUGGUGCCAAUUUGAUGGGAGUAUGGUUGUCUUCCUUUGGUUGUCUGUAAUUUUACAAAUGUUUGAAAUGUUAGGCUUUGUUUUGAAAUUCAGUUACGUAUCAAUACUACGAGCACCACGUCCGUUGAUCAUGAUACGCUUCCUAAGAGUCUUCCUUAAGUUCUCUAUGCCGAAAGCUAGAAUCAAUCAAAUUUUCAAACGUUCUGGCCAACAGAUAUACAAUGUUACUCUUUUCUUCCUCUUCUUCAUGUCCUUGUAUGGUCUGUUAGGUGUUCAGUUUUUCGGUGAAUUAAAAAAUCACUGCGUUUUGAAUACAACAGAUCCAAAACAUAUAACAAUUAAUAGUUUAGCCAUUCCUGACACGUUUUGUUCUACUGAUCCUGAAUCAGGAUAUCAGUGUCCAGAGGGGAUGACUUGUAUGAAACUCCAGUUGUCCAAAUAUAUUAUAGGAUUCAACGGUUUUGAUGAAUUUGUUACCAGCAUUUUUACUGUUUAUCAAGCUGCAUCUCAAGAAGGAUGGGUUUUUAUUAUGUACCGUGCCAUAGAUAGUUUACCUGCUUGGCGUGCUGUUCUCUACUUCAGCACAAUGAUAUUUUUUCUUGCAUGGCUUGUAAAAAAUGUUUUCAUUGCUGUUAUCACAGAAACAUUCAAUGAAAUACGGGUACAAUUUCAACAGAUGUGGGGAGUCAGAGGACAUAUCAGUAAUAAUACAGCAUCACAAAUAUUAACUGGUGACGAUAAUGGUUGGAAAUUGGUAACUUUGGAUGAAAAUAAACAUGGAGGAUUAGCUUCACCCAUAUGCCAUGCCAUCCUUAGAUCUCCUCACUUCCGUAUGGUGGUGAUGUGUGCAAUCUUAGCAAAUGGUAUCACCACUGCAACCAUGAGAUUCAAGCACGACGAAAAGCCCCGUCACACUUACUAUGACAACUAUUAUUAUGCUGAGAUUGCGUUUACCAUAUUCUUGGAUCUGGAAACACUGUUUAAAAUCUGGUGCCUGGGAUUUCGCAGUUAUUACAAGCAUUCGAUUCACAAAUUCGAGCUGCUAUUAGCAAUUGGUACUACCAUUCACAUCAUUCCACUCUUCUACCUUUCUGGCUUCACAUAUUUCCAGGUCCUUAGAGUUGUCAGACUCAUAAAAGCAUCUCCAAUGUUAGAAGAUUUUGUAUAUAAAAUAUUUGGCCCAGGAAAGAAGUUGGGCAGCCUCAUCAUUUUUACAAUGUGCCUACUGGUUAUAUCAUCUAGUAUUUCUAUGCAGCUUUUUUGUUUUCUGUGCGAUUUUACGAAGUUUGAAACAUUUCCAGAGGCAUUCAUGUCUAUGUUUCAAAUUCUAACACAAGAAGCUUGGGUUGAUGUUAUGGAUGAAACAAUGCUACGUACACAUGAGACAAUGGCACCUCUUGUUGCUAUGUACUUUAUUUUAUAUCAUCUUUUUGUCACACUGAUUGUGCUCAGUUUGUUCGUUGCUGUUAUUUUGGACAAUCUCGAAUUGGAUGAAGAUAUCAAGAAAUUGAAGCAAUUGAAAUUUCGUGAACAGAGUGCAGAAAUAAAAGAAACUCUACCAUUCAGAUUAAGAAUCUUUGAAAAAUUUCCUGACAGUCCUCAAAUGACAUGUCUGCACAAAGUACCAUCAGACUUCAAUCUCCCAAAAGUACGCGAAAGUUUCAUGAGACAAUUUGUGUUUGAGAUGGAAAAUGAAGAAAACGAGGGAGUGAAAAAAAUUAAUGAAACUUUUGAUUCAAAAAUGAUUUACAGGAAACAACGUCCAGUAAAAAUUUUAAAUAAUCCACCAAAAGUAAGAAAUGUUGUUACAAGUCUCAAGAAAGCAGCUGUUAUUUACAUUAUAAAUGAUUCCAACAACCAGAGGUUAUUGUUAGGUGAUUCUGCUAUGAUACCAGUACCGGGAAAAGGUCUCUUGAAGCCACAGGGUACUGUCAGCAGUGCCAAGCAGUUACGCAUAGAUCAGAAAAAAUCAAUUAGAAGAAGCGUUCGUAGCGGAUCAAUCAAGUUAAAACAAACGUAUGAACACUUAAUGGAAAAUGGUGAUAUUGGAGGUAUAAAUAGAGUUAGUUCUUCUCGAAGUAGACCGCAUGAUUUGGACAUUAAAUUAUUGCAAGCUAAACGGCAACAAGCUGAGAUGAGAAGAAACCAACGCGAGGAGGACUUGCGUGAAAAUCACCCAUUUUUUGAUACACCAUUGUUCGCGGUACCGCGCGAGAGUAAAUUCCGUAAAAUUUGCCAGUCGCUCGUUUAUGCAAGAUACGAUACGAACGUAAAAGAUCCGUUAACUGGAAAAGAGAGGAAAGUUCAAUAUAAAAGUUUGCACAAUUUUCUGGGUUUGGUCACGUAUCUCGAUUGGGUAAUGAUCUUCGCUACGACGAUGUCUUGCAUCUCCAUGAUGUUCGAAACCCCACGAUACCGCGUAAUGGAGGUACCGGCGUUGCAGAUUACCGAAUACGGUUUCGUGAUCUUUAUGAGUAUCGAAUUGGCUCUAAAAAUUCUGGCGGACGGAUUGUUUUUCACGCCGAAAGCGUAUAUCAAAGACGUCGCCUCCGUUUUGGACGUUUUUAUCUACGUCGUCAGUCUUGUGUUUCUUUGUUGGAUGCCGAAGAGCGUGCCACCGAAUUCUGGCGCGCAACUUCUCAUGAUCUUACGCUGCGUUAGGCCGUUAAGAAUCUUUACUCUUGUACCACACAUGAGGAAGGUUGUUUACGAGCUGUGUAGAGGCUUCAAAGAGAUCUUAUUGGUGUCUACUCUGUUGUUUCUGUUGAUGUUUAUAUUUGCGAGUUAUGGUGUACAACUUUAUGGAGGUAGAUUAGCUCGUUGCAAUGAUCCCACCAUCCUGAAACGGGAAGAUUGUGUUGGAGUAUUUAUGAGAAGAGUUUUUGUGACGAAAAUGAAACUACGACCAGGCCAAAAUGAGAGUUAUCCAUCUAUACUAGUGCCACGUGUUUGGGCUAAUCCUAGGCGGUUUAAUUUCGACAAUAUCGGUGAUGCAUUGAUGGCACUUUUUGAAGUACUCUCCUUUAAAGGUUGGCUCGACGUUAGAGACGUUCUUAUCAAAGCACUUGGUCCCGUCCAUGCGAUUUAUAUCCAUAUUUAUAUUUUCCUGGGCUGUAUGAUCGGUUUGACGUUGUUUGUUGGUGUUGUUAUUGCUAAUUAUUCUGAAAACAAAGGAACUGCGUUACUCACAGUCGAUCAAAGACGAUGGUGUGAUUUAAAAAAACGAUUGAAAAUUGCUCAACCAUUGCACUUACCACCCAGACCAGACGGAAAGAAAUUUAGAGCCUUUAUCUAUGACAUCACUCAAAACAUCUCUUUCAAAAGAUUCAUCGCAGUCAUGGUACUAAUGAACAGUGCUCUUCUGUGUGUUUCUUGGAGAAUCGAGGAAGAACACACGGAAGCACUCGCUACGGUGUCCACGAUUCUGACACUGAUCUUCCUCGUAGAAGUAAUUAUGAAAAACAUUGCUUUUACACCACGUGGCUAUUGGCAGUCCAGAAGAAACAGAUAUGAUUUGCUGGUGACAGUCGUGGGUGUUAUUUGGAUCGUCAUUCAUUGUACAAUGAAGAACGAUUUGUCAUACGUAAUUGGCUUUAUGGUUGUGAUACUUAGAUUCUUCACGAUAACUGGCAAACAUACGACUCUCAAAAUGUUAAUGUUGACGGUUGGAGUAUCCGUUUGUAAAAGUUUCUUCAUUAUAUUCGGCAUGUUUCUUCUUGUUUUCUUUUAUGCGCUAGCAGGCACUAUCAUCUUUGGAACGGUCAAAUACGGUGAAGGUAUAGGAAGGCGUGCCAAUUUCGAAUCACCUGUAACUGGCGUUGCCAUGCUCUUCCGUAUUGUCACGGGAGAAGAUUGGAAUAAAAUAAUGCACGAUUGCAUGAUACAACCGCCGUAUUGCACUCCGGCUGCUAAUUAUUGGGAGACAGAUUGCGGCAAUUUCCAUGCUUCCUUAAUUUAUUUUUGUACUUUCUACGUCAUUAUUACCUAUAUCGUUUUAAAUCUUCUUGUGGCUAUUAUCAUGGAAAACUUCUCUCUAUUUUACUCCAACGAAGAAGAUGCACUGUUGUCCUACGCUGACAUCAGGAACUUCCAAAAUACCUGGAACGUUGUUGAUAAUCAUCAGAAGGGUUUUAUACCAGUGAAACGGUUUGUUUCAGGUAAAGUUUAUUUUACGGUUAUUAAAAGGUAGACUGGAGACAGACCCACAGAAGGAUAGGCUUCUUUUUAAGCAUAUGUGUUAUGAACUAGAGAAGUUGAACAAUGGCGAAGAUGUUACUUUCCAUGAUGUUAUCAAUAUGUUAUCAUAUCGUUCAGUUGAUAUAAGAAAAGCCUUACAACUUGAAGAAUUGUUAGCAAGAGAAGAAUUUGAAUACAUUAUUGAGGAAGAAGUUGCAAAGCAAACUAUUAGAAAUUGGUUGGAGGGCUGUUUGAAGA
rnacentral:misc_RNA from 1 species